rnacentral:rRNA from 1 species
CUACGUGCCAGCAGCCGCGGUAAUACGGAAGGUCCGGGCGUUAUCCGGAUUUAUUGGGUUUAAAGGGAGCGUAGGCCGGAGAUUAAGUGUGUUGUGAAAUGUAGACGCUCAACGUCUGACUUGCAGCGCAUACUGGUUUCCUUGAGUACGCACAACGUUGGCGGAAUUCGUCGUGUAGCGGUGAAAUGCUUAGAUAUGACGAAGAACUCCGAUUGCGAAGGCAGCUGACGGGAGCGCAACUGACGCUUAAGCUCGAAGGUGCGGGUAUCGAACAGGAUUAGAUACCCUGGUAGUCCGCACAGUAAACGAUGGAUGCCCGCUGUUGGUACCUGGUAUCAGCGGCUAAGCGAAAGCAUUAAGCAUCCCACCUGGGGAGUACGCCGGCAACGGUGAAACUCAAAGGAAUUGACGGGGGCCCGCACAAGCGGAGGAACAUGUGGAUUAAUUCGAUGCAACGCGAAGAACCUUACCUGGGUUUGACAUGCACCAGAUCGGCGUAGAGAUACG